rnacentral:rRNA from 1 species
CCUACGGGAGGCUGCAGUGAGGAAUAUUGGUCAAUGGCCGGAAGGCUGAACCAGCCAUGCAGCGUGAAGGUCAGUGCCCUAUGGGCGUUAAACUUCUUUUGUGCGGGAGCAAUAAUGGUCACGUGUGGCCAGACGAGAGUACCGUACGAAUAAGCAUCGGCUAAAUCCGUGCCAGCAGCCGCGGUAAUACGGGGGAUGCAAGCGUUUUCCGGAUUUAUUGGGUUUAAAGGGUGCGUAAGCUGUGAGGUAAGUCAGCGGUGAAAUGCCCGCGGUCAACGGGGUGAAGUGCCAUUGAUACUGGCUGGCUGGAAUGCGGAUGCCGUGGGAGGAAUGUGUGGUGUAGCGGUGAAAUGCAUAGAUAUCACACAGAACACCGAUUGCGAAGGCAUCUCACGAAUCCGCGAUUGACGCUGAUGCACGAAAGCGUGGGUAUCAAACAGGAUUAGAUACCCCUGUAGUC